rnacentral:rRNA from 1 species
CCCUUAGAUGUUCUGGGCCGCACGCGUGCUACACUGAGUGGAUCAGCGGGUCAGGUUGCGCGAAAGUGUUUCCUAAUCUUUAAAUCCGCUCGUGAUGGGGAUUGACGGUUGCAAUUUUCCGUCAUGAACGAGGAAUACCUUGUAAGCGCGGGUCAUCAUCCCGCGCUGAAUACGUCCCUGCCCUUCGUACACACCGCCCGUCGCUCCUACCGAUUGAGUGGUCCGGUGAGGCUUUGGGAUCUGAGCGGAAAGAGCGUUUCGCUGUUUCUGCCCGGAAAACUCAGUCGAACCUUAUCAUUUAGAGGAAGGAGAAGUCGUAACA